rnacentral:rRNA from 1 species
UACGAAGGGGGCUAGCGUUUUUCGGAAUUACUGGGCGUAAAGCGCACGUAGGCGGAUUUGUUAGUCAGGGGUGAAAUCCCGGGGCUCAACCUCGGAACUGCCUUUGAUACUGCAAGUCUCGAGUCCGGAAGAGGUGAGUGGAAUUCCUGGUGUAGAGGUGAAAUUCGUAGAUAUUAGGAAGAACACCAGUGGCGAAGGCGGCUCACUGGUCCGGUACUGACGCUGAGGUGCGAAAGCGUGGGGAGCAAACAGG